UUUUUGAAAAUAAUUUAAAGUCUAAUCUGCCCACUGAUAAAUUAUUAAAGGGCUGCAGUAUUUUGACUGUACAAAGGUAGCAUAAUCAUUAGUCUCUUAAUUGGUGACUUGUAUGAAAGAUUGGAUGAAAUAUAUACUGUCUCUAUUUAAUUUAUAAAAUUUAAUUUUUUAGUAAAAAAGCUAAAAUAAUUUUAAAAGACGAGAAGACCCUAUAGAGUUUAAUAAUUUAUUUAAUUAUUAUUAAUAUAUAAUUUUUAAAAUUAAAAUUAAAUAAAUUAUUUUGUUGGGGUGAUAGAAAAAUUAAAUUAACUUUUUUUAUUUAUUAACAUUAAUUUAUGAUUAGAUGAUCCAUUAAUAAUGAUUAAAAGAAAAAAUUACCUUAGGGAUAACAGCGUAAUUUUUUUUUUUAGUUCAAAUAGGAAAAAAAGUUUGCGACCUCGAUGUUGGAUUAAGAUAAAAUUUAAAUGCAAAAGUUUAAAAUUUUGAUCUGUUCGAUCAUUAAAAUCUUACAUG
rnacentral:rRNA from 1 species